GCGAAAGAAGUUUGUGUGGGGACUGUGGGCAGUGAACGCGUUGGGAACAAUAUGGAAAACUGGGAGCCGCCUUGGAAUCUACAGGGCCGGAGAGACCGAGGGGCUCACUAGGUUGACCAGGCUGGUCUUGAACUCCUGGCCUCAAGCCAUCCUCCCACCUCAGCCUCCCAAAGUGCUGGGAUUACAUGCAUGAGCCACCACAUCCAGCCUACCUAAAAUAUUGAAUGCUGUUAAUAAAUCUCCUGAGGCCAGCAUAAGAAGGUGAUGGGCAAAACUAAUGCAGGGUUUCAGUUGUGCAAUUUCACCAUUAGCAAAGCUUUUUGCUGAAAUCUGGCUUUUCAAAGGGAGAGUAUCCAGAAACAGAAGAUGCUGCUCUGAGAGGCUCUUCCUAAUAGAACUGCUGCUUCAGUUUAGCUUGAAAAAGCCCACACCCAGUUCCUAAUGACAAACAUCUGAACACCGGGUCUUCCCACGAGCAAGACCAUGCUAUGCCUCCUGCUCGCUCUGUUCUAUAAGCAACCCACAGAUUGCUCCCUGUGAAGAGGAGCCUGCCAGGGGAGCAGCAUUCCACCAGACCCUGAUUUAGCAAGAUAUUUCCGUAUCAUUCCCCCAACCAGCUGGAAGUCCUCCACUGCUCUUGUGUAAAAAUCUAACUCAUCUCGCUGAAUUUCCUGAUUUAAAAGUCUAAUUCAUUUCACCAAAAGUGUGACAGAAGGAAACCAAGUACACCAUCUCUCUC
rnacentral:lncRNA from 10 species